rnacentral:rRNA from 1 species
AACGAACGCUGGCGGCAUGCCUAACACAUGCAAGUCGAACGAGACCUUCGGGUCUAGUGGCGCACGGGUGCGUAACGCGUGGGAACCUGCCCUUAGGUUCGGAAUAACUCCCCGAAAGGGGUGCUAAUACCGGAUAAUGUCUUCGGACCAAAGAUUUAUCGCCUUUGGAUGGGCCCGCGUCGGAUUAGCUAGUUGGUAGGGUAAAAGCCUACCAAGGCGACGAUCCAUAGCUGGUCUGAGAGGAUGAUCAGCCACACUGGGACUGAGACACGGCCCAGACUCCUACGGGAAGCAGCAGUGGGGAAUAUUGGACAAUGGGCGAAAGCCUGAUCCAGCAAUGCCGCGUGAGUGAUGAAGGCCUUAGGGUUGUAAAGCUCUUUUACCCGGGAUGAUAAUGACAGUACCGGGAGAAUAAGCUCCGGCUAACUCCGUG